GACGAACGCUGGCGGUGUGCUUAAUACAUGCACGUCGUACGGUGACUUCGGUCACAGUGGCGGACGGGUCAGUAACACGUAGGUCUCUGCCUCAAGGCGGGGGAUAACAUCGGGCAACUGGUGCUAAUACCCCAUAUGUCCCUCGGGAUACACGCUCCGGCACCUUGAGAUGAGCCUGCGGCUGAUUAGCUUGUUGGUGGGGUAAUUGCCUACCAAGGCGACGAUCAGUAGCUGGUCUGAGAGGAUGAUCAGCCACAAUGGAUCUGAGACACGGUCCAUACUCCUACGGGAGGCAGCAGUAGGGAAUUUUGCGCAAUGGGCGAAAGCCUGACGCAGCAACACCGCGUGAGGGAUGAAGCUUUUCGGAGUGUAAACCUCUGUCAGUGGGGACGAAUUAUGACGGUACCCACAAAGGAAGCACCGGCUAACUCCGUGCCAGCCGCCGCUGUAACAC
rnacentral:rRNA from 1 species